rnacentral:lncRNA from 1 species
AUACUAUACCUAGCUACCGUAUAUAUAAUGUCUGAUUUUUAUCAUUUAAUCAUUUAGUUAUUGCUACACCGUCGACCGCAUGCAUAUCAACGUAAAUCAAUUAUCAAACGUAAGAAAUUUAUUCGCAUAUGUGUUUUGCAAUUUUAGUUUUAACACCGAUAAUACUUUAAAUAUGCUUACACAUUGUGUAUGCAAAUGCAAAUAUUGAAAACAUUCAAUAACAUUGCGCAGGAUAAUGCAAUUUUAGUUUGGUUUCUUUGGUUAUUUUUUACUUGGCAGUAAUUUAUACUGUAUCACCUAAACGUAAUAUUGAUUUUUUUUUUUCGAAUGCAGAUGAGUUUCUAUUUUUUAUAACAAAUUACUUUUUUUAAGAAUUUUUUUGAUAAACCAAAUUUUUUCAAAUUCACCCGAGUUCCUGUGAUUGAAAUUUAUUCUAUAUUUUUCGCUUAUAUAUAUAAGAUUUUUGCGUUUACAUAGACAUUAUGCAGAUUCAAUAGNUAAUUUAAAAACUUAGUAUUAUAAAUACUAGUUUUAUUAUUAUUUGUCAGAUAAUUCCAAAUUAUGGAUAUUAUUACACAUUUUCCCAACCAUUAAAUGGUCGUAAAUAUACGAUUUCGUACGUUCAGAAUUCUCAAAUACACAAAAUUCCUUUUAUCUACAUAUACAAGUAUGAAAAAAUAAAUUAAAAAGUAAAAGAUGUAUUUUUCUUUCAAAAAUAUUGGUUAAAUGUUCAUAUCAGAAAAAAUUUUAAGGAGAACUUUUUCUAAUAAUUUGAUAUAUUAUAAGAAAAUAUAAAAUUUGAUUAAUACUCAAAAAAAAAAAAUAAAAAUAUGGGGUAUAUGUAAGUAGUAUUCUAUAUUUUGGAUUUGUUAUUAAAUUGAAAAUCAGUUUAUAAGUAUAAGUUACGCAUCAGGUGCCAUAUAUUUUUUUUUUUUAGUAUUAACCAAAUUUUAUAUUGUCUUAAUUAUUAUCAAAUUAUUGGAAAUGGUUCACUUAAAUGAUUUUUAGUACUAUGAGUAUUUAACCAAUAUCUAUGAAAGUAAAAUACAUAUUUAAUUUUUAAUGCAUUUUUUAAUCAAGCUUUUAGAAUUAUCAAGAAUUAUCUGUUUACCACUCGAUGUAUAGGUUUUGACAUAACUGAUGAAAAUCUCUUCCCUGAUUAUAACUAAUUCAAUAAAAAUCAUAAUAAAUCAAUAAAAUUGUUAUGCAGUUGUUUUUUUAUUGAGUACUUUUAUUAAUUAGUUAAUUAUUAGUUAUUAGUUAAGGUAAUGGUUAUAACGAUUAACAUCUUCAUUUUAUUGUCUACUAUUAAUAUUAUUAAUAUUAUUAAUACCUAUUUGUUAAUCAUUUUGUUAUCGUAAUAUAAUAAAUUAUGUUCAUAAGAAAAAGUAUUUUGCUUACACACCGCAAAAGAAAAAAAAGAGAAAACCCUAAUUUCUCAAUUAAAAAAACCACGGUACUUGUACAGAAUAUCUUUGAAAAAGAAUAAUAAGCAUACUGUUUUAGUGGUUUAUAUUUUUGAUUAGGUUAGUACACGGGAAAUCUGACACUACAAGACUGUUUUUAAGUACCCGUUCUCUUCAGACACGAUUGCGUACAUAAAUCUUGAACCUUUAAAAUUUUUUUUAAAUUCAAAGGUCCAUCCUAAUAACAUAAAAACCCAAAUAAUCGACCACCACCGAACACCUUAGCCAUACUGCCAUAGAAAUCUACCCUUCUACAUGCGAACCUAUACUAUAUAAUAUUGAAACACUGUUAAUAAUGUUUUGUCAUCUAGCAGAUCUAUCUUGUCUAAAAUCAUGCAUACGCAUUUUUCAGAGGCCUUGAGAAGUCUAAUUGUACAGUGCCGUUAAUAUCCGCCUACGACGACGACGGAUAGAUGAGAAACACGCGUCUUCGGUACGAAAACGACAGAAUAGUUAUGUUUAAUAAUAUGUUCGCCAUUUUGUACGUUCUAAUGACGUUUGCUAGCUUAAUAGUAUCGCCAACCGAUUACCAUGGUAAAGCACCUCCAGGUAAAGUUAUUCAUUUUUAUUAAAUAUUGUUAUUGUAAAUAUUUGUUUUUUUAUAAACGUUCAAUGAUUUUC